GGUGCAGUCACCAUCCCUGGAGGUGUUCCAGAACUGUGUGAAUGUGGUACUGGGGACAUGGUUAGUGGGUAUGGUGGGGAUGGGCUGAUGUUUGGACUAGGCGAUCUUAGAGGUCUUUUCCAAGCUUAAUGAUUCUAUGUGAUUCUAUGGCUCCCUGACUCCAUUCCUCAGAAUCAUAUUAGCAGAACGAGUAAAGGUGGAGAGAAGCAUCAUACUGCCCCAAAAAUCACAGAUAAAAUGAUAAGAAUGCAUAGGACAUGAAUACAAGAGCAAAGAAACAAGUGGACUGGCAGAUAAAAAUAAAUAAGGUUAAGCAAAGUGUAACUGAACUGUGGAGCCUCAUGCCAGAGGAUAUUACAAAGGCCAGAAGUUCACCCAGAAGCAAAAAGUGACUGACCUGACAUAUAUAUGAUGAUACUGCAUAGAUACUAAGAGCAUCAUUCUAGCCAAAGAAAGCCCUGAGCAGGAAUCAUGCAGGUGAGUCUAUCUGGUUUGUCAGUUCUGAUGUUCUGGUGGCACAAUCCCACUUGGUACAGUGCGCUGAAACACCCGACCAUAAAUUUAUAUGCCAAUCACUACAAUUAUAACAUAUUUCCCCACCUCCAUCUGAGAUAUAUCCCCUUUCCCUGAAAAUAAUGAGACAUUAUUUUCGUUUGCUGCCUUGCAGGUGCUGCUUCCUGCCUUUCAGAGGCAACCAAACUACUUCACAAACUGGGUGCUUAAACAGGAAAGGAGAUGAUACUGCUUCAAACCCUGCUUCCUGCAGUACCCUGACACUUCCGUCUACAAAAUUAUCAGGUAGGACCAUAGCCAGAGAGCUGCAGUUAGGCUGAGAUGAAAACUGAUUGUUUUGGUAGCUGAACUGAAGAAGUGACUCUCACUUUCACCUUUGCCGCAUCGUUGCAUUGUUCACUACUGGGAAAUGGAGGUGGCAUUCAGAACAGCCACUCUGCUGGAAGAUGUUGCUGUGCGGUAAGUUUCUGCAUUCUGUCCACAGGUGUUCUGCAGAGCAUAGAAAAGAGUUUCAGAGCAUCCUAGAGUGAAUAAAUACUCCAUAGUUACUGGAAGAUGCA
rnacentral:lncRNA from 1 species